AAAGGUUCGGUCCCAGCCUUAAAAUCAAUUUUUACUGUAUAUACACAUGCAAGUUUCCGCACCCCUGUGAAAACGCCCUUAACCCCCCUCCCCGGGAUCAGGAGCUGAUAUCAGGCACAAUUAUUAGCCCAAGACAUCUAGCCAUGCCACACCCACACGGGAUUUCAGCAGUGAUUAAUAUUGAGAAUAAGCGGCAGCUUGACUCAGUUAAAGUAAACAGGGCCGGCAAAUCUGGUGCCAGCCGCCGCGGUUACACCAUGUGGCCCAAAUUGAUAUUCUUCGGCGUAAAGCGUGAUUAAAGCGCACAAUAAAUUAGCGUCAAAUCAAUACUAAGCCGUAAUAAGCUUGUUCUUGAGAAGCCCAGAAACGAAAGUUAUUCUAAUUUAACCAACUUGAACUCACGACAACUGGGGUACAAACUGGGAUUAGAUACCCCACUAUGCCCAGUCGUAAACCUUAAUUUACUACCAAAUCGCCCGGGAACUACGAGCAAAGCUUAAAACCCAAAGGACUUGACGGUACCCCACAUCCCCCUAGAGGAGCCUGUCCUAUAAUCGAUACUCCACGCUAAACCUCACCAUUUCUAGUUUAUCAGCCUGUAUACCUCCGUCGUCAGCUUACCGCAUGAGCGAUUUUAGUGAGCUCAAUGGCCCCACCACACAUACGUCAGGUCAAGGUGCAGCAAAUGAAAUGGGAAGAGAUGGGCUACACUCUCUAAUUUAGAGAACACGAAAGACGACAUGAAAUACAGUCAGAAGGUGGAUUUAGAAGUAAGAGAAAAUCAAAAUGUUACUCUUAACCCGGCACUGGGGUGUGUACACACCGCCCGUCACCCUCUUCAAAAGCCACAUUAAAGUACUUAACCCACCAAGGCAUCACAGAAGAGGUAAGUCGUAACAUGGUAAGUACACCGGAAGGUGUGCUUGGAUA
rnacentral:ncRNA from 1 species